rnacentral:misc_RNA from 1 species
UCUCUCUCUCUCUCUCUGUUAUAUAUAAAUAUUAUUAUUACGUAGGGAACGUAUUUGUUUUUCUUUUUUUUUAUCGGAAAAGAAGGAAAAGUGAUGUAGGGAUGAGUCGUAUUUGAGAUUCAAAUGGUAUUGGCUGGAGGACGAGCUGGGGAUUCUAAUGCUUGGAUCUGCUGGUGGUCAGAUGGCCUCCAGCUUAUACAAGUUGGAACAGAAGAGGUUUCUAGUACGGUACUUAGUUGUCUAAGAAUUAUUUCUCUUUGAGAAGAUUUUUUAUGGCGUGAGGAUAGGAGGCCGAAAUGGUUUUGCAUCCCAAAUAUUUAAGAACAUGGAAGAAAUGCAAGAUGACAUGGGGCCAACAGAACAAGGGCCUUCUGUGUGGUGGGGUUCUGAUUUUAUGGAGAAAUUUGAAUCUGUUUCUUUGCUUUCACAAGAAGAUAGUUUGAAUCAUAAGGAAUCGCCUAGAAAUUACGAGGAAGAUGGUUUAUCUUCACAGACUGCAUCACAAAUUCUUUGGAAUACUGGGAUGCUUUCUGAACGAAUUCCAAAUGGAUUCUACUCUGUCACACCGGAUAAAAGGCUAAAGGAUCUCUUUGAUAGUAUUCCAACUUUAGAAGAGCUUCGUGCUUUGGAUGGUGAGGGUUUCAAGGCUGAUAUCAUUUUUGUAGAUUCAAAGAAAGAUAAAAAAUUAUCUAUGCUGAAGCAAUUGAUUGUGGCACUAGUCAAAGGAUUGAACUCAAAUCCAGCUGCAAUGAUAAAAAAGAUUGCUGGAUUGGUAUCUGACUUUUAUAAAAGAGCAAAUGUGGAAAGUCCAGCAAAAUCUUCACUGGAAGAAACCUCCCACAUGUUUGAAAGUCGAGGUGUUCAGUUACUUGGACAAAUAAAGCAUGGGUCUUGCCGUCCUCGAGCAAUCUUGUUUAAAGUUUUAGCUGAUACUGUAGGUCUUGAAAGUAGGCUCAUGGU